UACGUAGGUGGCAAGCGUUGUCCGGAUUUAUUGGGUUUAAAGGGUGCGUAGGCGGCCCUGUAAGUCAGUGCUGAAAUACCCCGGCUUAACCGGGGGGGUGGCAUUGAUACUGCAGGGCUUGAGUACAGAUGAGGUAGGCGGAAUUGACGGUGUAGCGGUGAAAUGCAUAGAUAUCGUCAAGAACACCGAUAGCGAAGGCAGCUUACUGGGCUGUAACCGACGCUGAUGCACGAAAGUGUGGGGAUCAAACAGG
rnacentral:rRNA from 1 species